rnacentral:lncRNA from 1 species
AAGACAGUGUCUUUAAACCAUCGAUGACGAACCAAAAACCUCUUGAACUUCAACUUGCUCUACACUUUCUUCAAAUAUAGGUUCUUCGGAUUUCAAAUUUUGAUCUGUUAAAAUAACAAAUUUAUGCGAGUUUAGUAUCAAAGAAUAAAUAACUAAAGAAGAAAAUAAACACUUUAAAGGGAAAAUGAACAGAUAAUACCUUAAAUUAUCGAAUGCACAGAUAGAUAACCAUAUUCAUGAGAAGUAAGUUGACUAGCCAAAGAAGUGAUAAGUUCAAUUAAAUUCUAGCCAAGUACCAGACUAACUUAUACCAAAUUACCUAAUCAUUAUUGGACCCAAAAUAUACUUUUUCACCUUUUCAAAAUUUUUCCCAAAACAAAACCAAAACAAACGUCAUGAAUCUUAACCAAUGUUCCUAGAUACCAAUUGGCAAUCUGCCACCAGCUUACAAAAAAAUGAACUAGUACUUAUUAAAGGGAGAACAAUGACCAAACAUUUAAGAAAAGAAAACCUUAAGUCUGUAUGCAAGAUGGCUAGUGUAACAUGUCUUUCACCACAGUGCGUAAUUUUUUAAUUUAUGAUUAUACGACUGGAGGACUCCGUAUAGCAUUCUAAGUUUCAAGUCUUGAAUCCAUAUUCUUUAAAAGUGUGGAGAUAUUAGAUAGAAUAGCAGAUUCUCCAUUUCUUUCCAACUAAUGUCUUCUCAACUAUGGAAGAAGGUCUCAAUAAUAGCUUAAAAUCUUUUAAACUCUUGUCCAAGGUAUGAAAUAUAUAUGACAUUUUAAAUGCCGAAGAUUGUAUCAAGGCCAUGAAGAGGUUAAUUGUCAUUUGAUUACAAAGAUUACUAGCAGUAACAUGCAAAGAGAUAAAGAAAUUACCAGAAGAGCAAUUUGAAGCUACUCAUAGUAGAUCAAGAAAAGAAACCAAAAGCUCCAAUUUUUACAAAGAGAAAAUAAUAACUAAAAAAUCAUAAUCAUAACAAUAAUAGUUAUAAUAGUUGUAGCAUUUUACUAGUAACCAUAAUAACACUAAUUAUAACAACAACAUACUAACCAACAAAGCUCGUGAUUUUAUCAUCAAGAAACAAACAGAGAGAAAUAAAAAGAAGGCAACAAUUCAAAUGGAAAUAAAGCUAGAAGCUAAAGCAGAAAAUUAUAGAAAAGAACAAAGAAAAGUAGAGUACCCUUUAGUUAUUUCAAGAAAAUUGCAGGCUCAGAGCUUAAGUGAUAUGACAGGAUUGUUCUGCUUUGUGGGUAUUCUAGUUUCUACUAAAAAUGGUGAGGUAGAAAGAGAGAUAAUAAUAAGUGUAACAGGAAAGAAAUAGAGAUAAGAUCAUUGGAG